CCUACGGGAGGCAGCAGUGGGGGAUAUUGGACAAUGGGGGGAACCCUGAUCCAGCGACGCCGCGUGAGUGAAGAAGUAUUUCGGUAUGUAAAGCUCUGUCAGCAGGGAAGAAAGAAAUGACGGUACCUGACCAAGACGCCCCGGCUAACUACGUGCCAGCAGCCGCGGUAAUACGUAGGGGGCAAGCGUUAUCCGGAAUUACUGGGUGUAAAGGGGGCGUAGACGGUUAAGUAAGUCUGGAGUGAAAGGCCGGGGCCCAACCCCGGGACUGCUCUGGAAACUAUUGAACUUGAGUGCAGGAGAGGUAAGCGGAAUUCCUAGUGUAGCGGUGAAAUGCGUAGAUAUUAGGAGGAACACCAGUGGCGAAGGCGGCUUACUGGACUGUAACUGACGUUGAGGCUCGAAAGCGUGGGGAGCAAACAGGAUUAGAUACCCUUGUAGUC
rnacentral:rRNA from 1 species